AUUGAACGCUGGCGGCAUGCCUAACACAUGCAAGUCGAACGGCAGCACGGGAGCUUGCUCCUGGUGGCGAGUGGCGGACGGGUGAGUAAUGCAUAGGAAUCUGCCCAGUAGCGGGGGACAACUUGGGGAAACUCAAGCUAAUACCGCAUGCGCCCUACGGGGGGAAAGCGGGGGACCUUCGGGCCUCGCACUAUUGGAUGAGCCUAUGUCAGAUUAGCUUGUUGGUGGGGUAACGGCCUACCAAGGCGACGAUCUGUAGCUGGUCUGAGAGGACGAUCAGCCACACUGGGACUGAGACACGGCCCAGACUCCUACGGGAGGCAGCAGUGGGGAAUAUUGCACAAUGGGCGAAAGCCUGAUGCAGCAAUGCCGCGUGUGUGAAGAAGGCCUGCGGGUUGUAAAGCACUUUCAGUAGGGAGGAAACAGUAGCCGGUUAAUAUCCGGUUGCCUUGACGUUACCUACAGAAGAAGCACCGGCUAACU
rnacentral:rRNA from 1 species